rnacentral:rRNA from 1 species
GAUGAACGCUGGCGGCGUGCCUAAUACAUGCAAGUCGAGCGAACAGACGAGGAGCUGGCUCCUCUGACGUUAGCGGCGGACGGGUGAGUAACACGUGGAUAACCUACCUAUAAGACUGGGAUAACUUCGGGAAACCGGAGCUAAUACCGGAUAAUAUAUUGAACCGCAUGGUUCAAUAGUGAAAGACGGUUUUGCUGUCACUUAUAGAUGGAUCCGCGCCGCAUUAGCUAGUUGGUAAGGUAACGGCUUACCAAGGCAACGAUGCGUAGCCGACCUGAGAGGGUGAUAGGCCACACUGGAACUGAGACACGCUCCAGACUCCUACGGGAGGCAGCAGUAGGGAAUCUUCCGCAAUGGGCGAAAGCCUGACGGAGCAACGCCGCGUGAGUGAUGAAGGUCUUCGGAUCGUAAAACUCUGUUAUUAGGGAAGAACAAAUGUGUAAGUAACUAUGCACGUCUUGACGGUACCUAAUCAGAAAGCCACGGCUAACUACGUG